rnacentral:rRNA from 1 species
UACGUAGGUGGCGAGCGUUGUCCGGAAUUACUGGGUGUAAAGGGCGUGUAGGCGGGACUGCAAGUCAGAUGUGAAAUUCCCAGGCUUAACCUGGGCGCUGCAUCUGAAACUGCAGUUCUUGAGUGUCGGAGAGGAAAGCGGAAUUCCUAGUGUAGCGGUGAAAUGCGUAGAUAUUAGGAGGAACACCAGUGGCGAAGGCGGCUUUCUGGACGAUAACUGACGCUGAGGCGCGAAAGCGUGGGGAGCAAACAGG